rnacentral:rRNA from 1 species
GAGUCCUACGGGGGGCAGCAGUGAGGAAUAUUGGUCAAUGGGCGAGAGCCUGGACCAGCCAAGUCGCGUGAGGGAAGACGGUCCUAUGGAUUGUAAACCUCUUUUGCCGGGGAGCAAAAAGCGGUACGUGUACCGCAUCGAGAGUACCCGGAGAAAAAGCAUCGGCUAACUCCGUGCCAGCAGCCGCGGUAAUACGGAGGGCGCGAGCGUUAAUCGGAAUUACUGGGCGUAAAGCGCGCGUAGGCUGUUGUGUAAGUUGCGGGUGAAAUCCGACGGCUCACCCGCGGAACAGCCCUUGAUACUGC